rnacentral:rRNA from 1 species
CAGCAGCCGCGGUAAUACGAAGGGGGCCAGCGUUGCUCGGAAUGACUGGGCGUAAAGGGCGCGUAGGCGGAUUGUUUAGUUAGGCGUGAAAUUCCUGGGCUUAACCUGGGGACUGCGCUUAAUACAGGCAGUCUAGAGUGAGGAAGAGGGUUGUGGAAUUCCCAGUGUAGAGGUGAAAUACGUAGAUAUUGGGAAGAACACCGGUGGCGAAGGCGGCAACCUGGUCCUUGACUGACGCUGAGGCGCGAAAGCGUGGGGAGCAAACAGGAUUAGAUACCCCAGUAGUCCCUGUCUCUUAUAA